GGGUGCGAUCAUACCAGCGUUAAUGCACCAAAUCCGAUAAAAACUCCACAAUUAAGCGCGCUUGGGCUAGAGUCGUACUGGGAUGGGUGACCUUCUGGGAAGUCCUAGUGUUGAACCCU
rfam:Picea glauca, whole genome shotgun sequence.